rnacentral:rRNA from 1 species
GUAGGGCGCGAGCGUUGUCCGGAUUUAUUGGGCGUAAAGAGCUCGUAGGCGGCUUGUCGCGUCGACCGUGAAAACUCACAGCUCAACUGUGAGCUUGCGGUCGAUACGGGCAGGCUCGAGUUCGGUAGGGGAGACUGGAAUUCCUGGUGUAGCGGUGAAAUGCGCAGAUAUCAGGAGGAACACCGGUGGCGAAGGCGGAUCUCUGGACAGCUACUGACACUGAGGCACGAAGGCCAGGGGAGCAAACGGG